GUAAAAUAUAAGGUCCAGGCGUGGCCAUUUUAGUUGCUGGUGUUAAGUUGUGGUGGUUGCUGGUCAGUAACAGCCAAGAUGCUGCGGAAUCUGCUGGCUCUCCGUCAGACUGGACAGAGAACCAUAAGCACAACUUCCCGCAGGCAUUUUAAAAAUAAAGUUCCAGAGAAACAAAAACUGUUCCAGGAGGAUGAUGAAAUUCCACUGUAUCUAAAGGGUGGGAUAGCUGAUGUCCUCCUGUAUAGAGCCACCAUGGUUCUUACAAUUGGUGGAACAGCAUAUGCCAUGUUAUCAGCUGGCUGUGGCUGCAUUUCCCAAGAAGCAGGAGUGACUUCAAUCAUCCCAGCAAUCACUAGGUUCAGUUUCAUUCCGCUCUCUAUGGACCAGUAAUCUGAUAACCGAGCUCUUCUCUGGGGAUCAAUAUUUAUUGACUUGUAGUAACUGCCGCCAAUAAAGCAGUCUUUACCAUGAAAAAAAAA